rnacentral:rRNA from 1 species
AAUAGAUACCCAGGUAGUCCACGCCGUAAACGAUGAGUGCUAAGUGUUAGAGGGUUUCCGCCCUUUAGUGCUGCAGCAAACGCAUUAAGCACUCCGCCUGGGGAGUACGGUCGCAAGACUGAAACUCAAAGGAAUUGACGGGGGCCCGCACAAGCGGUGGAGCAUGUGGUUUAAUUCGAAGCAACGCGAAGAACCUUACCAGGUCUUGACAUCCUUAUGCCAUCCCUAGAGAUAGGGCUUUCCCUUCGGGGACAUAAGUGACAGGUGGUGCAUGGUUGUCGCCAGCUCGUGUCGUGAGAUGUUGGGUUAAGUCCCGCAACGAGCGCAACCCUUGAUCUUAGUUGCCAGCAUUCAGUUGGGCACUCUAAGGUGACUGCCGGUGACAAACCGGAGGAAGGUGGGGAUGACGUCAAAUCAUCAUGCCCCUUAUGACCUGGGCUACACACGUGCUACAAUGGAUGGUACAAAGGGCUGCAAAACCGCGAGGUUAAGCGAACUCCCAAUAAAACCAUUCUCAGUUCGGAUUGCAGG